CUGCUCGUCAAAGUUUCUAACAUCUGAUUGGUUACUCAGCAAAGCAAGUCAUGACAGAUCGAUCCCAGAUAAUGGAUUGAAGCAGUGAAUGCACUCCGAUACGUUAGGUGACAGUGUUCAUCCGUAUAUUCGUUUCGGUACGCUCUUCAUUUGUCGCCGAAAAAAUAGUUGCUGAUGAUACAAGUGAAGACGGAUCAAUCAGCUCACCAUUGGUGCAAAGUGUUAGUGCAGGAUGUCCAAAAGCUCUCCGGAGCACAGGUACAGCAGAUACCUGUCGCUACACCACGUACACCUGUUCAAGGUAGGUAAGGAUAGCCAGAUGUGCUUCUAAACGAAGCUAGCUAGUCGGCAGAAUGGUGUUAGCAUGUCAGCAGCCCUGAAGUUGGACUUUUAUCACUUCUUUCUUUUUAGUUGUUGUUUGCUUUCUUUAUUACAUUUAUCAGGACUUAAGGAUGUUUUAGCUGAGUGGCGAUCAUGGGAGCUGUAACAUUUUCUCUGUGUUGCAGCCGAAGUAGCAAGGCUGUUUGCUCCAUACAACAACAACAACAACAACAACAACAACAACAACAACAACAACAACAAGGCUGAUAAAGUUCCAAGCAUUCAGCUUAAAGCAGACCUUCUUGCUUCAGGACUUGGAGAACAAAGGUGAUCUUUUCAGGAAAUGACAACGAUCCCAUGGUUGUAACAAACAAACUGAUGGAGGUGUUUCCAAAGCUGCAAGAAGGGGGAGGCUUUGAGUUUCUAAAAAUUGCAGGAUCUACUCGCAGUCGAAAUCUUGGACUUCUUCAAUGUCCCAGCACAGGAUACACCCUUACCUAUCUAAAAGAUCCAUCUCCAACAAUUGGACAGGCUACAAUUGACAUACGCCCACUUCAACAGGACCUACCCAUUGAUUCAGAAAGCUCGGGACAUGCCUCUGGUCCAGAAGGAGGUUCCCUUCUCUGAAAUGAAACUGCACCGAGCUAACUGGA